CCCUAUGGGGUGCACCAAACUCGCCUCGCCGCCUUCCACGAUUUGGCCUCCGCCCACAUUGCGGUUGUUGGCUUCCAGGGUUUCGUAUACCUCAUCGAAGGUUAGCCCAUAUUUCACCAACGCAUCGGGAGAAAUGAUGACGUGAUAUUGCCGUUCCAAUCCACCCCAGGUGUUGAUUUCCGCAACUCCCGGCGUCUUGAGCAACUCUGGUUUGAUUACCCAAUUCUGGAGAAUGCGCAAUUCAUCCGGUUUGCGGUUCGGAUCGGUUGAUUGAACCGUAUAAUGAAAAAUUUCGCCCAGACCGGUCGAGAUGGGUCCCAGUUCCGGGCGUUCGAUGCCAUCGGGUAAAUCGACGCCGGCGAUGCGCUCCAUGAUGAAUUGGCGGGAGGGC
rnacentral:rRNA from 1 species